GUCCACGCCGUAAACGAUGGAUACUAGCUGUUGGGAGCGAUCUCAGUGGCUAAGCGAAAGUGAUAAGUAUCCCACCUGGGGAGUACGUUCGCAAUAAUGAAACUCAAAGGAAUUGACGGGGGCCCGCACAAGCGGUGGAGCAUGUGGUUUAAUUCGAUGAUACGCGAGGAACCUUACCAAGGCUUAAAUGUAGAUUGACCGGUUUGGAAACAGAUCUUUCGCAAGACAAUUUACAAGGUGCUGCAUGGUUGUCGU
rnacentral:rRNA from 1 species